rnacentral:rRNA from 1 species
UACGGGGGGGGCAAGCGUUGUUGGGAAUUACUGGGCGUAAAGGGCUCGUAGGCGGCCAACUAAGUCCGACGUGAAAUCCCAAGGCUUAACCUUGGAACUGCGUCGGAUACUGGAUGGCUUGAAUUCGGGAGAGGGAUGCAGAAUUCCAGGUGUAGCGGUGAAAUGCGUAGAUAUCUGGAGGAAUACCGGUGGCGAAGGCGGCAUCCUGGACCGACAUUGACGCUGAUGAGCGAAAGCUAGGGGAGCAAACGGG